AAGACAAAUUAUUUAAGUGCAUUUGAACGGGGUAUGGUAGUAGGUGCCAGGCGCACAGGUUUGUGUCAAUACUGCAAGCUCAACAGUUUCCCGUGUGUAUCAAGAAUGGUCCACCACCCAAAGGACAUCCAGCCAACUUGACACAACUGUGGGAAUCAUUGGAGUCAACAUGGGCCAGCAUCCCUGUGGAACGUUUGACACUUUGUAGAGUCCAUGCCCUGACGAAUUGAGGCUGUUCUUAUGGGAAACGAGACAUGACAGUGGAGAUAGAUCACGUUUAACCAUACACCAGGAGGAGACCAGGGGAGCAAGAGUCAGAUUCCCCUGGGUUAACUCCCACCCACACCUCUGCAGGUCUCACCUGGACCCAGGAGGGUGAGUUCAGAGCAGGGGUGAGAGGUGAAAGGGAAGGGGUCAAUGGAUAUUAAAUAUGUUUUCACACUGUACUGUACUUGACAGUUCCCGUUAUCCUCUCUUCUUUCCCAGUAAAGACCUGGCCCACACAGAUGGAGUCUUAAAAAACACACACACACACACACGUGCACACACACACCGGACUCCCAGUUCCAGACCGUGUAGGUGUGUAUGUGUGUGGAUAGCUUGUGGGAUGAGGGUGGAUGUUUAGUAUUACUGUGGUCUGUUUCAUCUCGCUACCUGCCCAGAAAUACUGCUAUCUCCAUUGAGAAUGAUCUAAUCCAAUCCCCAUCAUUCUGGACCAGGUGUGUCUUAUUUUCCGCUACAAAUGUUCCCAGACACCCAGAUAAAUGGAUAUUAAUGAAACGCUGUCAGUGAUUAAUGUUGAUGUGAGUAAUGUUGAAGGGAAUAAUCAUUUUAAUGGAGUCAUAAAUAUUUUAGAAUUUGUGAGGUAAAUAUAUGCCAUUUAAAUUGAGCUCCUGUUCAAGGCCCAGUUAGUAAGUAAGUAAACCUUGUCUGAACCGGAAUAUUCCAUAGGGCUGGAGCCUGUUGUUCUAGUGUAUCAAAUAAAAGUUUAUUAGAAAUGUGCGUCGAAUACAACAGGUGUAGUAGACCUUACAGUGAAAUGCUUACUUACAGGCUCUAACCAAUAGUGCACAAAGGUUAUUAGGUGAACAAUAGGUAAGUAAAGAAAUAAAAACAACAGUAAAAAGACAGUGAAUUAACAGUAGCGAGGCUACAUACAGUAGUGAGGCUAUAUACAGUAGCAAGGCUACAUACAGACACCGGUUAGUCAGGCUGAUCGAGGUAGUAUGUACAUGUAGAUAUGGUUAAAGUGACUGUGCAUAUAUGAUGAACAGAGAGUAGCAGUAGCGU
ensembl:lncRNA